UACGUAGGGGGCUAGCGUUGUCCGGAUUUAUUGGGCGUAAAGAGCGUGUAGGCGGCCAUGUAGGUCCGGUGUGAAAACUCGAGGCUUAACCUCGAGAUGUCAUCGGAAACCAUUUGGCUAGAGUCCGGAAGAGGAGAGUGGAAUUCCUGGUGUAGCGGUGAAAUGCGCAGAUAUCAGGAGGAACACCAAUUGCGAAGGCAGCUCGCUGGAACGUAACUGACGCUGAGACGCGAAAGCGUGGGGAGCAAACAGG
rnacentral:rRNA from 1 species